rnacentral:lncRNA from 1 species
CCGCCCUCCAGCCUUGCUGUAGUAGCGGUGGUCGCUCAGGAGCCGAGUUGCAGGCUGCGCGGGCAAGAGCUGGGGGGGAAGCUCCCUGAGGUCGUGUCCUUUGACUUGACCUCCUCUAGGCCCCGUGCGGUCUCUGAGGGACCAGCGGGGUCCAGGCUACUGCACAUCAGCCAGGCAGCUCUGAUCAACCCAGCUCUAUUGGCCCCAGCUGGGAAGAGAUUAAGCCUUUCACUGUCUUCCCUCUGCGCAGCAACUAAUGAAUAGGACACUCUGGUUUCUGGGUUAAAUGCGGUCCUGGAAUUCCCCAAGUCCCGGACGAUGAAGGACGCUGACCCCGAAGGAAAGAAAUCUCCUCGUGCCCCACUUGGACUGCUAUUAUUUCAGAAUGAUCUUAUGAAAGGCUGCGUCUUGUCCAAUAAUCAUUACCUAUUAAUUAAGAACCCACAGGACCACGGAGAAUAGAUUUAAUUGACCAUCUACAGAAGAAGCUAACUUCUGUAUCCCAGGUCGUCUUCCCCGAACUUCCCAGCCAGGAGAAGCACUGCUGGAAGACCAAAGGUAGGAGGAAGGGAGAAGACAGGGUGUUUCGUUACCACCACAAAGUUGCACUUGGGUGAUGUUUCUGGCAGCUGCAGCAGCAUUUUCCACUUUGGACUGGUUCACUGUGGUUCCAGCUUCUUCCAGGUCACUGUGCCUUUGUUAAUGCCAUCUUCUCCAAUUGUACCUCCAGCCUACUGGUGGGGGUAGCUUCCUGCUGUUGCUAAUCUUGUUGCCUGUUUGUCUUCUCAGACCUUCUAUCACCAGUGUGACCAAUUCCCUGUACUGUAUUAUCUGUUUUAAAUGUUUAGAAUGGUUUUUGUUUUUGUGGUGGAACACAACUCAUAUACUCAUGUCUUAGUUUAAGUUCUUUUAGAGGCAGGCAACAGAAACUUGCAAACAGGCCAGUUUGCAAAAUAAUGAAGGUAUUAAGCUGUAUUCAAAGGAUUGAACAACCAAGGCUCCACUGAAGAGCAGGAGCCAGACCAGCUCUGGGAACCCCAACAGUGGUGGUUUUGGACCUUCUUUCCAGAGCACUGCUCUAAUAGCCCCCAGUCUCUGUGUCUCUUUGUUCCAAUUUUCAAAUUGCUGAGAAAAACUGGUUGCCCUGUCUCAGAGCGACUGUCCCAGACUUAAUUAUCUACAGCAGUAAUUCUUCAAGGAGGGCCCCAGAUCUG